rnacentral:lncRNA from 1 species
GGCUGAGGAGGAUACAGAUUCCUAUCUUUUACCCUAAAAAAAAGAAAAAAAGAAAAAGAAAAGAAAGAGAGAAAAGAAAAUCAAGACCUGCAGACUUAAGAUGCGACUGGAGACUCACGCCACUACUCAGGGGUAGAGCUGAGUCCAAACCCAAAUCAAAGACCCCAAAGCCGCAUAUUCUGCCCAGAAAUGUGACAAUCCAAGUGAUCCCUCACCUCCUUGUACACUCAACGUAGCCAUUCCCGGUAAGUAACCUCCAAGGCUAUAGCAGUAUUAUUCCUCUGGACUUCAAAAAGGUAGUGGCUUCUGGGGAUUUAGCUCAGUGGUUCUGCUGCCUGCCUCGCAAGCGCAAGGUCUGAACUCCCAGUGCGCGCGCACACACACACACACACACAC